CGGGGCGUGGCUCAGUUUGGCUAGAGCGCCUGCUUUGGGAGCAGGAGGUCGACAGUUCAAAUCUGUCCGCCCCGA
rnacentral:tRNA from 1 species